UACGAAGGGAGCUAGCGUUGCUCGGAAUCACUGGGCGUAAAGGGUGCGUAGGCGGGUUUUAAGUCAGGGGUGAAAUCCUGGAGCUCAACUCCAGAACUGCCUUUGAUACUGAAAAUCUUGAGUUCGGGAGAGGUGAGUGGAACUGCGAGUGUAGAGGUGAAAUUCGUAGAUAUUCGCAAGAACACCAGUGGCGAAGGCGGCUCACUGGCCCGAUACUGACGCUGAGGCACGAAAGCGUGGGGAGCAAACAGG
rnacentral:rRNA from 1 species